GAUGAACGCUGGCGGCGUGCCUAAUACAUGCCAGUCGAGCGAACGGACGAGAAGCUUGCUUCUCUGAUGUUAGCGGCGGACGGGUGAGUAACACGUGGAUAACCUACCUAUAAGACUGGGAUAACUUCGGGAAACCGGAGCUAAUACCGGAUAAUAUUUUGAACCGCAUGGUUCAAAAGUGAAAGACGGUCUUGCUGUCACUUAUAGAUGGAUCCGCGCUGCAUUAGCUAGUUGGUAAGGUAACGGCUUACCAAGGCAACGAUGCAUAGCCGACCUGAGAGGGUGAUCGGCCAUACUGGAACUGAGACACGGUCCAGACUCCUACGGGAGGCAGCAGUAGGGAAUCUUCCGCAAUGGGCGAAAGCCUGACGGAGCAACGCCGCGUGAGUGAUGAAGGUCUUCGGAUCGUAAAACUCUGUUAUUAGGGAAGAACAUAUGUGUAAGUAACUGUGCACAUCUUGACGGUACCUAAUCAGAAAGCCACGGCUAACUACGUG
rnacentral:rRNA from 1 species